CGAAUGCUGACAUAAGUAACGAUAAAGCGGGUGAAAAGCCCGCUCGCCGGAAGACCAAGGGUUCCUGUCCAACGUUAAUCGGGGCAGGGUGAGUCGACCCCUAAGGCGAGGCCGAAAGGCGUAGUCGAUGGGAAACAGGUUAAUAUUCCUGUACUUGGUGUUACUGCGAAGGGGGGACGGAGAAGGCUAUGUUGGCCGGGCGACGGUUGUCCCGGUUUAAGCGUGUAGGCUGGUUUUCCAGGCAAAUCCGGAAAAUCAAGGCUGAGGCGUGAUGACGAGGCACUACGGUGCUGAAGCAACAAAUGCCCUGCUUCCAGGAAAAGCCUCUAAGCAUCAGGUAACAUCAAAUCGUACCCCAAACCGACACAGGUGGUC
rnacentral:rRNA from 1 species